rnacentral:rRNA from 1 species
UACGUAGGAGGCGAGCGUUGUCCGGAGUUACUGGGCGUAAAGCGCACGCAGGCGGUCUCUUUAGUCUGUAGGGACAGGGCACAGCUCAACUGUGUCAGGCUUACGGAAACUGGGAGACUUGAGGGCUUCAGAGGGAUGGGGAAUUCCGGGUGGAGUGGUGAAAUGCGUAGAGAUCCGGAAGAACACCAAAGGCGAAGGCACCAUCCUGGGGAGUCACUGACGCUCGGGUGCGAAAGCUAGGGGAGCGAACGGG